UGAGACAAGCAUAUUGACUACUGGCAGGAUCAACCAGGUAGCAUCCCUAAUUGACAUAACCAGCCCGCUGGUACGAGCCAACACGGGACAGGCAAGUCUUUCAAGAUGAUGCGCCACUCUUUGACAAACCCUCCUGAUCCCAAUGGCAAAGCCGAUUCAGGCAAGACAGUAGGUCAUGUUAACUUUGACAAACCCUCCUGAUGGCAAAGCCAAAUCAGGCAAGACAGUAGGCAUUGUUAACUUUGACAAACCCUCCUGAUGGCAAUGCCAAUUCAGGCAAGACAGUAUGCAUUGUUAACUUUGACAAACCCUCCCUAUGGCAAAGCCGUUUCAGGCAAGACAGUAAGCAUUGUUAACUUUGACAAACCCUCCUGAUGGCAAAGCCGUUUCAGGCAAGACAGUAAGCAUUGUUAACUUUGACAAACCCUCCCGAUGGCAGGGCCAAAUCAGGCAAGACAGUAAGCAUUGUUAACUUUGACAAACCCCCCGAUGGCAAGGCCAAACCAGGAAAGACAGCAGUCAUGUUAAGAGAGGCACAAACGCUAAAUGAGGGCAAAACAAGGAUCCCAUGAGACCCCAUGCCCACAUCGUUUUCCAUAUCCAGGAUACCAAGCAACGCUCAAUGGGCCACAACAUCAACGCAAGCAUAAUGUUGUGGAUCAAAGAGACCGCUUUGUGGUUCAUCCGAUGCCACAAAAAUGGCACGAGACGAAAUCAACUAUAAUCAACCAAGACAAUACCAAUGCUUAGGUACGCAACACAGAAACCCACAAUUUGGCCAGGCAAUAGAUGCCCAAACAAACAACUGAAGAGGUAUGCCGGGUGGA
rnacentral:misc_RNA from 2 species